GACGAACGCUGACGGUGUGCUUUAGACAUGCAAGUCGAACGAGAAAGCCCUUCGGGUUAGUAAAGUGGCGAACGGGUGAGUAACACGUGGGCAAUCUGCCCCUCGCAGGGGGACGAACCGGAGGAAACUCCGGCUAAUACCCCGUAAGUUCAAAGGGAGGCAUCUCUCUUCGAAGAAAGGUAGCUUCGGCCAUCCGGCGAGGGAUGAGCCCGCGGUGCAUUAGCUAGUUGGUGGGGUAACGGCCUACCAAGGCGACGAUGCAUAGCUGGUCUGAGAGGAUGAUCAGCCACACUGGGACUGAGACACGGCCCAGACUCCUACGGGAGGCAGCAGUCGGGAAUCUUGCGCAAUGGGCGAAAGCCUGACGCAGCAACACCGUGUGUGUGAGGAAGGCCC
rnacentral:rRNA from 1 species